GUCACUCAUCAACCCAUUCUCUCGCGGUUUCUAAACUCGUGAACGUGUAUUAAAGCAAGAUCACGGAUACCUUCCAAUUCAUAUUUUCGGCAAAUUUCGGAAAUUUUGACACCUUCCAAUCAAGACUCAAACUAUGUUAGUAUAUAUACCACACACCUUUCACCACUCUCGACAACCAUACACACCCACAACACCUUCACGUAACCUUGCCGGGGAAUAAAGCUUUCGCCGGAAUAACCGAACAACAUCUCGACACACCCCCUCACACCCUCACAUCUUCUAUUCCCCUACUCGACACCCUCACCCUUCUCGGAUUCGUAACCAAGUCUGCUGGAGUUCACAGUUCUCAUUGAGGUUACGAGACGUCGCCGGAAUAACACCACGAACCACCUUUCACAACAUGUGUCGGACACCUCCCACACGUUAUUCCACCACAUUCUAUCUCCCUAUCUCACCCUCUCGUUGUUUCACGCCGACCAGAGCAUUUGGAACUCGCUGGAGUUCAUCGGAGAUCACGUCGGAAGUUCACGACGGAACCGCAUAACGUCGUGUUCGUCUAUUGGGAAAGGCAAAGUGGAUCAUGUUAUUCGUAUUGGAUAUGAGUUGAUAGAUGAAGAAUUCAAGAAUCAAGUUAGGGUGGAUUAGAAACACACCUAGAAAUAAACUAUGUUGGAAUCUUGUUUUGUUUAUUGGAAUCUUGUAUGACAUUUUAGCAUUUAUGAAAUUUGAUUAAAUCUAUAUUGUC
rnacentral:lncRNA from 1 species